rnacentral:lncRNA from 1 species
GUAUAAAUCUGUUAUAGGAAUCAUUAGGAUUUGAUUUAGGAUUUAGGAUUUGAUUUAGGAUUAGGAUUUGACUAGAGUUUGAUUUAGGAUUAGGAUUUGGUUAGGAUUUGAUUUAGGAUUAGAAUUUGAUUUAGGAUUUAGGAUUUGAUUUAGAGUUAAUUAUGAUUUGAUUUAGGAUUUAGAGUUUGAUUAGGAUUUGAUUUAGGGUUUAGGAUUUUAUUUGAGUUUAUUUAGAAUUUAAGAUUUAGUUAGUUUUUGGCCUAAAUUUUGAAUGAAGUCUAAUAGGAUUUUAACUAGGAUUAAAUUAAGAUUGAAUUGAGAUGUAUUUGAAAUAUAUUUGUGAUCAUUCUAAUAUUUUUUUAAGAUUUUUUAUUAUUUCUUUGUAAUUCCUUUGAGGUUUCUUUGAAUUUGAUUAAAGCUUGCUU